rnacentral:rRNA from 1 species
GACGAACGCUGGCGGCGUGCCUAAUACAUGCAAGUCGAGCGAGACUCUUCGGAGUCUAGCGGCGGACGGGUGAGUAACACGUGGGCAACCUGCCUGUAAGACUGGGAUAACACCGGGAAACCGGUGCCAAUACCGGAUAAUCCUUUUCCUCUCAUGAGAAAAAGCUGAAAGUCGGUUUCGGCUGACACUUACAGAUGGGCCCGCGGCGCAUUAGCUAGUUGGUGAGGUAACGGCUCACCAAGGCGACGAUGCGUAGCCGACCUGAGAGGGUGGUCGGCCACGCUGGGACUGAGACACGGCCCAGACUCCUACGGGAGGCAGCAGUAGGGAAUCUUCCACAAUGGACGAAAGUCUGAUGGAGCAACGCCGCGUGAGCGAUGAAGGCCUUCGGGUCGUAAAGCUCUGUUGUUAGGGAAGAACAAGUACCGGAGUAACUGCCGGUACCUUGACGGUACCUAACCAGAAAGCCACGGCUAACUACGUGCCAGCCGCCGCCGUAAAAC